AUGGCGGGUGGUUUCAAGUCCUUGGAGGUCCGCCAAAACGCCAGAUCCCUACCAGGAGCCAUAUAAGCCGGUGGUUUAAAUUUCCUCGACUAGCGCUGCUGGACUGAACUGUAUGCUGGGGGCUUAACGGGACGCAGAAAACAGAAAGAGGGGAUCUGAGGAGACGACACCAUUCCCGGUGCGAGUCCGAGCGUCCGGGAAGCUGAGGCCACCAACCCUCACCCCCACCAAGGACUCUCAGCCCGGGACUCGGGUUUGGUGCACCAGUGCGCGGAGCCGGGCGGCCGGCCGGUCCUGACGCUCUAGACGCGAGGAGGACGCACCGGAAGUCUCCACUGCUCUUCGCCGGCGUGGGGGCCUGCGGACCUUUCCGGCCCACUCUGCUGCCUCGGGAAGGAGAGCACACGCGUUCCGCGGCUAGUUGCCGGGAUCCCGGACAGAGCAACUUUCCUUUGAUGAUUUUCAAGAAAGCUGUGCUGUGAAGUGGCAAAGUCUCCAGGAAGCAAAAUGCCAUGGUCUCUGGGGAAACUGGUCUUUUAUUCCAGCGUGGUGGCCAGUGGGACCUGCACCCUUACAUAUUACCUGAUACAAAAGGCUUUUUCCAAGGCUUCCUAUUACCAGCAGGCAUUGGAACAGCUGCAUGGCCACCCCGAGGCCCUGGAAGCCCUGGGCACUCCCCUCAAUGUCCACUAUCUCCGCCUCACCGACAAGUACAACUUCGUGGACAUUGCCGAAGCCCAGUUGAAGAUUCCUGUCUCUGGACCCAAGUCAGAGGGCCAUCUCCAUGUCAUCUCAUCGAGAAAUGCUCCCUUUCAGAGGUGGCACCUUCAGGAGGUCUUCUUAAAGCUUGAGGAUGGUCAGCAGAUUCCCGUGUUCAAGCUCAGUGGGAACACUGGUCAUGAAGUAGAAAAGGAGUAAAGAUGAUCAGAAAGACUCCGCUUGCUCCAGACACGGCCUUACCCCAUCACCACGUGCCCCCGUGACUGGGAGCCAGGUGUCCAGCCGCCAGGGGUGACUGGAUGCGCUGGCGUAUGACAACCCCAUAUUCGAGAAGCACACCUUUAGGUUUUACCUGUUUUUAGGGAACGGUGUUAUGAAGUCAAAGAUUUUCCUUCCCUCUGAGCACCGCAGCUGAUGAAAACCAGAAAUCUGAUACCUUUGCUUUGAAAAGGCCAGUUUCACCCCUUAAUGCGGUUACAAUUGCCUACAAUAAAGGACAUUCAUGAGCUCUUUUCCUACACUCUUAAUAUUCUUUGGAGGGAAGCCUUUUAGAAAAUAUUGAGCUUAAACAUGCUGGGAGAGCAUGAGACCUUUAAUCGUUGGAAGUUAUUUCUAUUCUGGAGCUUGUUUCUUUAAAAACAUACAUUCUUUGAAUAGAGUUUAGAGUGAAAAGUGAGUCUUCCCUGAGAGCACUUUUGCCCUGUGUUUGUUGAUAGACACUAUAAUCUGUGCAGUCUUUUAAAGUAAAUGGUAACAUUGUAUACACAGUUUGUGCU